rnacentral:lncRNA from 1 species
CCCCAGUCCCUUUUUAUGUCUUAUUUUGAGACAGGGUCUCACUAAAUUGCUCAGGGCCUUGAUAAGUUGUGGAGGCCGGCUUCGAAUUCACAAUCCUCCUGUCUCAGCCUCCAGACCUGCUGGAUUAUAGGCGUGUGCCACUGUGCCUGGCCUGGCUGCUGUCCUUGUGCUGUUUCCUUUAACAUGAGAUAGGCUUGGCCUUUUCAGGUUCAGGGAUGCGAGGGCUUGGAGGUCCACGGAGAUCUCACUGUAAUCUUGAUACAGGUAGCAACAGAGUCAGGGCAUCACCAUAGAGAUGAUGCCCAGAGACUGGAGGCUGUCCCUCAAGGCCACUCUUUAAGUGUAGGAUAGUGUAUGGUUUGGAAAUCGGGAUCUGGGACUCGGGUUGGGCCCUCGCCCCUGUGUUACCCAUCUCCCGGAGAAUUGUGCUUCCGAGGACCUGGAUGGCCCUGCUCAGUUGCUUCCUGAGCCAGUGUUCGUUGCACCAGGAUGUGUGCUUCCGUGUCAAACAUUUCAGACAGUGUCCUCAGGGUCUUGGAGAGCGGAGGCAGCCUUGACCACACACCACACCCCCACUUCUCCCUGACAGCUUCGCCACUACCCCAGCUCCCUCAGAAGCCCCAACACACAGGGCGAUUCCCUGCUGCGGUUCCAGCCCACCCGAGACCACAGGAUGCCCCAGCACUAGGUGUACAAGGUGACCUUUAACCCAGGCCAACAAGCUGCUUUUGAGCUUUGAGUGUGUCUGGCACUGUAAUUGCGCAUAGCGGGCUGAAUUGUGUUCCCCGGAAAGAUCCAUCUGAGUCCUGCCUCCUAGUACCUGUGCAUGGGAAAUAGUCCCUUCUUUGGAAAUAGGACUCCUGCAGAUGCACUGUAGUUAAGGAUCUUGAGAUGAGAUCAUCCUGCAGCUAGGAUGGGCCCUAAAUCCAACGACUGAUGCCCUUAUAAGGAAAGGGAACUUUGAGACACCAGAAAGAUGCAGGGAAAAGAUGGAGGAGGGAUUGAAGGGAUGCCGCUACAAGCCAAAGAUGGCCAAGGGUGGCCAGUGAUGACCGGAAGAUGGAAGAGGAAAGCAGAGAUGGUCCCCAGAGCCUCUGGAGGGAGUGCAGCCCACGCUGGAUUUCAACACCUUGACUUUGACCUUCUGGUCUCCAGAACCAUGAGAGUUUAUGCCACUAUGGUUUUGGCAAUUUGUUUCAAUAGACGUAGAAAACAAAUAUACGCAUGAAGAAGAAGUUUCAAAUAAAGUUUCC